rnacentral:rRNA from 1 species
AGAGUUUGAUCCUGGCUCAGAUUGAACGCUGGCGGCAUGCUUUACACAUGCAAGUCGAACGGCAGCACGGGGGCAACCCUGGUGGCGAGUGGCGAACGGGUGAGUAAUGCAUCGGAACGUAUCCUUGAGUGGGGAUAACGCAGCGAAAGUUGUGCUAAUACCGCAUAAGCUCUGAGGNGGAAANCGGGGGUACCAAAGGCCUCGCGCUGAAGGAGCGGCCGAUGUCCGAUUAGCUAGUGGUAGUAAGCUACCAGCGACGAUCGUAGCUGGUCUGAGAGGAUGAUCAGCCACACUGGGACUGAGACACGG